rfam:Sulfitobacter sp. CB2047 contig_3, whole genome shotgun sequence.
GGGGACCUUCGGGGCCCUACAACCAUCUCGGCACCAUCACGACGGGGCCGGGGACAAGCAAAACGGAAGACAGAGA